rnacentral:rRNA from 1 species
UACGGAGGAUCCGAGCGUUAUCCGGAUUUAUUGGGUUUAAAGGGUGCGUAGGUGGCCUGUUAAGUCAGGGGUGAAAGACGGUAGCUCAACUAUCGCAGUGCCCUUGAUACUGAUGGGCUUGAAUGAACUAGAGGUAGGCGGAAUGUGACAAGUAGCGGUGAAAUGCAUAGAUAUGUCACAGAACACCAGUUGCGAAGGCAGCUUACUAUGGUUUUAUUGACACUGAGGCACGAAAGCGUGGGGAUCAAACAGG